GGCCAGUUAGCUCAGUCAGUAGAGCGUGGUGCUAACAACGCUAAGGUCGCAGGUUCGAUUCCCAUUCAGUCCC
rfam:Apaloderma vittatum contig91444, whole genome shotgun sequence.